UACGAAGGGUGCAAGCGUUACUCGGAAUUACUGGGCGUAAAGCGUGCGUAGGUGGUUCGUUAAGUCUGAUGUGAAAGCCCUGGGCUCAACCUGGGAAUGGCAUUGGAUACUGGCGACCUAGAGUGCGGUAGAGGGGUGUGGAAUUCCCGGUGUAGCAGUGAAAUGCGUAGAUAUUGGGAAGAACACCAGUGGCGAAGGCGGCUAACUGGUCCAGAUCUGACGCUGAGGUGCGAAAGCGUGGGGAGCAAACAGG
rnacentral:rRNA from 1 species